rnacentral:rRNA from 1 species
UACGUAGGUGGCAAGCGUUGUCCGGAUUUACUGGGCGUAAAGAGCGCGCAGGCGGUCGGAUCAGUCGAAUGUGAAAGCCCCCGGCUCAACUGGGGAGGGUCAUUCGAUACUGUCCGACUCGAAGGCAGGAGAGGGAAGCGGAAUUCCCGGUGUAGUGGUGAAAUGCGUAGAUAUCAGGAGGAACACCGGUGGCGAAGGCGGCUUGCUGGGCCUUACCUGACGCUGAGGAGCGAAAGCGUGGGGAGCGAACAGG